rnacentral:rRNA from 1 species
CCUAGUAACGGCGAGUGAAGCGGCAACAGCUCAAAUUUGAAAUCUGGCUCUCGGGCCCGAGUUGUAAUUUGUAGAGGAUACUUUUGAUGCGGUGCCUUCCGAGUUCCCUGGAACGGGACGCCAUAGAGGGUGAGAGCCCCGUCUGGUUGGAUGCCGAAUCUCUGUAAAGUUCCCUCAACGAGUCGAGUUGUUUGGGA